GCUCAGAUUGAACGCUGGCGGCAGGCCUAACACAUGCAAGUCGAGCGGCAGCACAAGGGAGUUUACUUCUGUGGUGGCGAGCGGCGGACGGGUGAGUAAUGCCUAGGGAUCUGCCCAGUCGAGGGGGAUAACAGUUGGAAACGACUGCUAAUACCGCAUACGCCCUACGGGGGAAAGGAGGGGACCUUCGGGCCUUCCGCGAUUGGAUGAACCUAGGUGGGAUUAGCUAGUUGGUGAGGUAAUGGCUCACCAAGGCGACGAUCCCUAGCUGUUCUGAGAGGAUGAUCAGCCACACUGGGACUGAGACACGGCCCAGACUCCUACGGGAGGCAGCAGUGGGGAAUAUUGCACAAUGGGGGAAACCCUGAUGCAGCCAUGCCGCGUGUGUGAAGAAGGCCUUCGGGUUGUAAAGCACUUUCAGUAGGGAGGAAAGGGUGUAGCUUAAUACGCUAUAUCUGUGACGUUAC
rnacentral:rRNA from 1 species